GAUGCCAGGGUCAAAAGACCUAAGCCCCAUGAGCUUGCUCAUGAGUGGGUGAAAGGCCUUGGGACCCGCCCCGAUAUGAACAUAAAAGUGGGAGGUAUAUCCCACGAUAUACGAAUAUUGGGGCGGAUUGUGGAAGUGCACAGCACGGAACAAUCCGCGAGCAU
rnacentral:sRNA from 1 species